CGAUCACAUGUUGACGUGAAUGGGCUAUAACCCGUCCUAUUGGAUGGGCCAGGCCCAGGAAAGUCCCCGGGCCCAUAACCGCAGAGAUGCGGGCUCAGAAAUGAGUUAUGCUUCAUGGGCUGGAAUCCAAAACUCAUAAAUGGGUUUGGGCUGAGACGAGGUGGAGCCUAUGAUUCCGGCCCAGAAGCCCAAUUGGCUAAUAAAACAGUUAUUCACGUGGUCUAGUUAAAAACCUAGAUUAACUGAACGGGGCUUACAGUCAUGUGGUC
rnacentral:RNase_MRP_RNA from 1 species